GUCUACGGAUAUGCUACCCUCAACAUGCCCGAUCUCGUCUGAUCUCGGAAGCCGAGCAGGGUCAGGCUUGGUUAGUUUAGGCAAAACUCCUCCAUUCCAUUUGGAUGGGAAACUACCUAGGAAUACCGGGAGCUGUGGGCU
rnacentral:rRNA from 1 species